UACGUAGGGGGCAAGCGUUGUCCGGAUUUAUUGGGCGUAAAGAGCUCGUAGGUGGUUCGGUAAGUCGGAUGUGAAAUCUCCAGGCUCAACCUGGAGGGGUCAUUCGAUACUGCCGUGACUAGAGGUCGGUAGGGGAGUGUGGAAUUCCUGGUGGAGCGGUGAAAUGCGCAGAUAUCAGGAGGAACACCCGUAGCGAAGGCGGCACUCUGGGCCGAUACUGACACUGAGGAGCGAAAGCUAGGGGAGCAAACGGG
rnacentral:rRNA from 1 species